rnacentral:siRNA from 1 species
CAAAGGUUGCUUUCGAUGAGAU